AAAAAAUAACUGAGUUGUUUGGUGGUGGAGCUACAACAGAGGGCAGCUAUCCACCGGUGUGUGACAGAAAGGACAUGCCGCCAACGAGACAUACGAGGCCGGGCAGGCGAUUGCUAACGCGGUGGUCAAUCAUGGAUCAGGGAAAGCGAAGGCAGGAGCGUGAGGUGAACUGAAUUUCAGGAGCAGAUCCUGGUCCUGGUGCUGUCCUCCCAGCCGGCACAUAUGAAAGUGUCACGGUCUGUGGCUCUGCAUCCGGGGAGCCACGGGAUAGUGCGGUGGUCACACCCCCGGCUGGGCCGCCUUCAACACACCUGCGUCACAUUUGAGGCAAUCACCAGAGGACUACUUCAACCAGCACUGACGGCUACUCCUCGUCAGUCCGUUAGUCUCCCCUCAGUGUGAUCAGCGUUCGGCGUGGAAGCCUGUUGCCUGCUGUCCUCCUGCCUGAUUGCCUCCCUCCCUUGGAUUCCCUCCACGGACACCUCUCCCCUCAAAGCUCCACGGUGCUAUUAAUUGUGUCCCCCCUUUGUGUUGCAGUUUCCCCACGGUCCCGAUUAUGGCGCUCCUGGGCUCCGCACUCCUCGUUUUCCCCCACGGCGUGAGCCUUAGUUUUCCGUUCCCCUGGCUUCGUUAACGACUCAACACGGACUUCCGGAAGCCGUGGCACGGAACGGCAGUUGAC
ensembl:lncRNA